AUUGAACGCUGGCGGCAGGCCUAACACAUGCAAGUCGAACGAGUGGCGGACGGGUGAGUAAUGUCUGGGAAACUGCCUGCUGGAGGGGGAUAACUACUGGAAACGGUAGCUAAUACCGCAUACCAUCAGAUGUGCCCAGAUGGGAUUAGCUUGUUGGUGGGGUAACGGCUCACCACGGCGACGAUCCCUAGCUGGUCUGAGAGGAUGACCAGCCACACGGGAACUGAGCCACGGUCCAGACUCCUACGGGAGGCACCAGUGGGGAAUAUUGCACAAGGGGCGCAAGCCUGAGACAGCCAUGCCGCGUGUAUGAAGAAGGCCUUCGGGUGGUAAAGUACGUUCAGCGGGGAGGCGGUACCCGCAGAAGAAGCACCGGCUAACUCCGUGCCAGCAGCCGCGGUAAUUC
rnacentral:rRNA from 1 species